AAUUCGACGCAACGCGCAGAACCUUACCUGGGCUUGACAUCCCGAUCGCACCUUUUGGAAACUUAAGGGUCAGUUCGGCUGGAUCGGUGACAGGUGCUGCAUGGCUGUCGUCAGCUCGUGUCGUGAGAUGUUGGGUUAAGUCCCGCAACGAGCGCAACCCUCGUCCUUAGUUGCCAGCAUUAAGUUGGGCACUCUAAGGAGACUGCCGGUGUUAAACCGGAGGAAGGCGGGGAUGACGUCAAGUCCUCAUGGCCCUUAUGUCCAGGGCUACACACGUGCUACAAUGGCCGGUACAAAGGGUAGCAAGACCGCGAGGUGGAGCCAACCCCAAAAAGCCGGUCUCAGUUCGGAUUGGAGUCUGCAACUCGACUCCAUGAAGUUGGAAUCGCUAGUAAUCGUGGAUCAGCAUGCCACGGUGAAUACGUUCCCGGGCCUU
rnacentral:rRNA from 1 species